AUACGUAGGGGGCAAGCGUUAUCCGGAUUUACUGGGUGUAAAGGGCGCGUAGGCGGGAUGGCAAGUCAGAUGUGAAAUCUAUGGGCUCAACCCAUAAACUGCAUUUGAAACUGUCGUUCUUGAGUAUCGGAGAGGCAAGCGGAAUUCCUAGUGUAGCGGUGAAAUGCGUAGAUAUUAGGAGGAACACCAGUGGCGAAGGCGGCUUUCUGGACUGUAACUGACACUGGGGCAUGAAAGCGUGGGUAGCAAACAGGAUUAGAUCCCCUGGUAGUCCACGCCGUAAACGAUGGGUUCUAGGUGUAGGAGGUAUCGACCCCUUCUGUGCCGUCGUUAACACAAUAAGUACCCCGCCUGGGGAGUACGGUCGCAAGACUAAAACUCAAAUGAAUUGACGGGG
rnacentral:rRNA from 1 species